AUGGUUAUAUAUGGGAUAUGGAUUGGUUACGUGAGUAAUUCGUCCAUGAACAUCCCUAUCCCUAUUCACAGCUGCUUCCUCCCUUUAGAAGCGAUGCAAAUUCUUAGCAUUCCUAUUUCCUCAAGGUAUCCGGUUGACAAAAUCAUCUUGCACAACAAAGUGAACGGUGAGUACUCUAUGAGAUCUGCGUAUCACAUCAACAUUCAGAGCAAAUGGGUUCUUUCACUAGGAUCCUUGAGCAUACCUUCUCCAAAAUUAUGGAAGGAAAUUUGGAAAGCCCCCGUCUAG